AGUCGACGGAUUCUUCGGAUUGAGUGGCGAACGGGUGAGUAACACGUAGGGAACCUGCCUGCAUGAGCGGGAGAACUUCUGGAAACGGAAGCUGAUACCGGAUGAGCAAAGAGGAGGCAUCUUCUUUUUGGAAAAGGGGACAAGAGUCCCGCAUGCAGAUGGACCUGCGGUGCAUUAGCUGGUUGGAGAGGUAACGGCUCACCAAGGCGACGAUGCAUAGCCGGCCUGAGAGGGCGGACGGCCACACUGGGACUGAGACACGGCCCAGACUCCUGCGGGAGGCAGCAGUAGGGAAUUUUCGUCAAUGGGGGGAACCCUGAACGAGCAAUGCCGCGUGAGCGAGGAAGGUCUUCGGAUCGUAAAGCUCUGUUGCCGGGGACAAAAGGCAGAAAGAGUGGAAAGCUUUCUGAGUGAUGGUACCCGGCGAGGAAGUCACGGCUAACCACGUGCCAGCAGCCGCGGUAAUACGUAGGUGGCGGGCGUUAUCCGGAAUGAUUGGGCGUAAAGGGUGCGCAGGCGGCCGGGCAAGUCCGCAGUAAAAACUGGAGGCUCAACCUUCAGGGGCUGCGGAAACUGUCCGGCUGGAGAGCAGGAGAGGACGGUGGAACUCCAUGUGUAGCGGUAAAAUGCGUAGAUAUAUGGAAGAACACCGGUGGCGAAGGCGGCCGUCUGGCCUGCAUCUGACGCUGAGGCACGAAAGCGUGGGGAGCAAAUAGGAUUAGAUACCCUAGUAGUCCACGCUGUAAACGAUGAGGACCAAGUGUUGGAGGUAAAACUUCAGUGCUGCAGUCAACGCAGUGAGUCCUCCGCCUGGNGAGUAUGCACGCAANUGUGAAACUCAAAGGAAUUGACGGGGGCCCGCACAAGCGGUGGAGUAUGUGGUUUAAUUCGAAGCAACGCGAAGAACCUUACCAGGC
rnacentral:rRNA from 1 species